CUUUUCUCUCUCUUCCUUCAGCAUUCUCUCUCCUCCUGCUAAUCCUCUCUAAAAUUGAUCGUCUUCUUCUUCAUCAACUUCGAUUCUUCCAAUUCCUUCACCUUUGCAGUUUUCCCUCUUUCAAUUCGUCAGGUUUGGUCGUUAGUGAGGAGAUUCGAUCAACCUCAGAAGUAUGAGCCAUUAUUGGUUAGUUGAUGCAUGAUGCAUGGAAAUCUUGAGAUUUGGAAGUGUAAAAGAGGUUGAUGUGAAAUCAGGGCAUCCAGCGACUAUGAGCACUCUGCAAGAACUCUACAUUAAGGGUUGCCUGCACCUGUCAAAAAGAUGCACUGUACCAGCAGAAGAAGACUACUCUCUAAUAGGACACAUCUCCAAAUCUGGCUAGACGGAGUUCAUUUUACUCCAAAUAAAAGUCAGUGAAUCAGAUUUGUGACCACCACCUUCUCAACUCACCACUUGGAGCAAAGUUUUGGUAUGACUGAAGAUUGGUGUUUAACAUGCAUGGUUAGUUAAAAGCAACGGUUAGGCUAACCGAAGAAUGAAGGCAAAAUGUGCAAGGGGCAAAUUGUAAGCGUAUGCCUUCAUUGAUGUGAGUCCAAUUUCCGUACAACAUAGUGUCUGACUAUAUGUUAUGUUUAUAAUGUUAUCCAGAAUGAAACUAGGGUAGUAUGAGUUUAAUUGGCUUUAAUUUAUUAUUGUACUGAAACAAUCGACAGUCGACCAGUCGUGUAUGCACGAAAACUUGCAUUGCAAUAUCAAACAAUUUGAAGAUUCAACAGAUCAUUUCCUAUUAGUUUGG